UCCGGUUUGUCACCGGCAGUCUCCUUAGAGUGCCCUUGCGUAGCAACUAAGGAUAAGGGUUGCGCUCGUUGCGGGACUUAACCCAACAUCUCACGACACGAGCUGACGACAGCCAUGCAGCACCUGUGUUACAUCUCUCUUUCGAGCACUCUGACCUCUCAGCCAGAUUAUGUACAUGUCAAGGGUAGGUAAGGUUUUUCGCGUUGCAUCGAAUUAAUCCACAUCAUCCACCGCUUGUGCGGGUCCCCGUCAAUUCCUUUGAGUUUUAAUCUUGCGAUCGUACUCCCCAGGCGGUCAACUUCACGCGUUAGCUUCGUUACUAAGGAUAGCUAUCCCCAACAACCAGUUGACAUCGUUUAGGGCGUGGACUAC
rnacentral:misc_RNA from 1 species